ACUAUGUUGACUAUUUGGUUACUUCAGUAAUGUUUUCAUUUGUACCUCUUCAAAUCUCCCAGGCUGCUUCUUAAAAGGAUGUUUAUAUACAUUUUUUAUAUAUGUGUCUCAAAACGAUCCUGAAUGAACAAUAGAUCGAUGAUGCUUCAGUUUUCAAAUUGUUUAAUUUUGAAAUUAAUUCAUCCUCAUUAUUGUCACGGUAACCUUUGCUACAAUUAAAAAUGUAUUAUUUGAGCCAUGUAUUCUGUUUUCAUAGAAAACCUGCUAUGCAAUGAGGACCUCUUCUCGGGCACCCCGAUGCAAUCCCUGCUCCUUCCAGAACUAUUCAUGCUUGCUCAGACAAAUCAGUUCAGGAUUUGAGAACAGAUACGUUGGAAAACGAGAAGGAAAACGGACUCGCACUUAUGUUUCGCAGUAUUCCACCAAAUUAAAGAAAUGUUGUCUUCUUGUCAACAGAUGCAUUCCCGUGUCUUUUGUGCAUCGUCAUUUGUGAUGCUUACGAUAAUUACAAUCAAUGUCAUGACGUAUAAACUGCCUGACUCGUAUGGAAUCACAUAGCCCAACAUAA